UGAGUACGAGACGCUAAGGCGUCGAAGUAGUGGAUGUCAUACUUCCAAGAAAAGCUUGCACUGUCAUAAAUAAAGAACGCCUGUACCAUAACCGACACAGGUGGGUAGGUAGAGUAUACUAAGGGGCGCGAGAUAACUCUCUCUAAGGAACUCGGCAAAAUAACUCCGUAACUUCGGGAGAAGGAGUGCCUUAUUCGUAAGGCUGCAAUAACAAGAUCCAAGCAACUGUUUAUCAAAAACACAGGUCUCCGCUAAGUCGUAAGACGAUGUAUGGGGGCUGACGCCUGCCCAGUGCCAGAAGGUUAAAGAAGUCGGUUAGCAUUAGCGAAGCUGGUAACUGAAGCCCUGGUGAACGGCGGCCGUAACUAUAACGGUCCUAAGGUAGCGAAAUUCCUUGUCGGGUAAGUUCCGACCCGCACGAAAGGCGUAAUGAUUUGGAUACUGUCUCGGAGAGGGGCUCGGUGAAAUAGACUUGUCUGUGAAGAUGCGGACUACCUGCACCAGGACAGAAAGACCCUAUGAAGCUUUACUGUAACUUGAAAUUGAAAUUGGACUUUAUUCGCGCAGUAUAGGUGGGAGGUGUUGAUUAUAAUCUUGCGGGAUUAUUGGAGCCAUCAGUGAGAUACCACUCUUGUAAUGUUAGAUUUCUAACUUUGAAUCAUUAUCUGGUCAAAGAACAGUUUCAGGCGGGCAGUUUGACUGGGGCGGUCGCCUCCUAAAUGGUAACGGAGGCGUACAAAGGUUUCCUCUGAACGGGUAGAAAUCGUAUCUAGAGUGUAAAGGCAUAAGGAAGCUUGACUGUGAGACCUACAAGUCGAGCAGGGACGAAAGUCGGUCUUAGUGAUCUGACGGUACUGAGUGGAAAGGCCGUCACUCAACGGAUAAAAGUUACUCUAGGAUAACAGGCUGAUCUCCCCCAAGAGUUCACAUCGACGGGGAGGUUUGGCACCUCGAUGUCGGCUCAUCGCAUCCUGGGGCGGUAGUACGUCCCAAGGGUUGGGCUUUCGCCCAUGAAAGCGGUACGCGAGCUGGGUUCAGAACGUCGUGAGACAGUUCGGUCCAUAUCCGGUGUAGGCGUUAGAAUAUUGAGAGGAGCCUUCUUUAGUACGAGAGGACCGAGAAGGACAUACCUCUGGUGUACCAGUUAUCGUGCCAACGGUAAACGCUGGGUAGCUAUGUAUGGAGUGGAUAACCGCUGAAAGCAUCUAAGUGGGAAGCCCACCUCAAGAUAAGUAUUCUCAUC
rnacentral:rRNA from 1 species